UACAAUGACUCUCGGCAACGGAUAUCUCGGUUCUUGCAUCGAUGAAGAACGUAGCGAAAUGCGAUAGUUGGUGUGAAUUGCAGAAUCCCGUGAACCAUCGAGUUUUUGAACGCAAGUUGCGCCCGAGGCCAUUAGGUCGAGGGCACGUCUGCCUGGGUGUCACA
rnacentral:rRNA from 1 species